rnacentral:RNase_P_RNA from 1 species
GCGGAUGGCCGGAUGGCCGCGGCCCCUUCGGGGGGCGAGGAAAGUCCGGACUCCACAAGGCAACGGUGCCGGGUAACGCCCGGCCGGGGCAACCCGAGGGAAAGCGCCACAGAAAACAGACCGCCCCACGGCCGCGCCAGCGGCGGGGGCAAGGGUGAAACGGUGGAGUAAGAGCCCACCGCGCCCCUGGCAACAGGGGCGGCACGGCAAGCCCCACCGGGAGCAAUGCCAAAUAGGGAUCGCGCGUGGCCUCGGCCACAGGGGCGCCUUGCCCCGAGCAGAUCCGGGUUGGCAGCUGGAGGCGGCGCGGCGACGCGUCGUCUAGAUGAAUGGCCAUCCAGGGGGCGUCCGCCCCCGGACAGAAUCCGGCUUACAGGCCGUCCGCGCAC